GAAGGGGAUAACUGUCCGAAAGGAUAGCUAAUACCCUAUAUUGCCUUUUGUCACUAAGGCAAAAGGUGAAAGCGAGGCUGUCAAAGGCUUCGGCUCAAAGAGGGGUUCGCGUCCUAUCAGGUAGUUGGUGGGGUAAUGGCCUACCAAGCCAAUGACGGGUAGCUGGUCUUAGAGGACGAUCAGCCACAGUGGGACUGAGACACGGCCCGCACCCCUACGGGGGGCAGCAGUGGGGAAUCGUGGGCAAUGGGCGCAAGCCUGACCCCGCAAUGCCGCGUGAGGGAAGAAGCCCUUCGGGGUGUAAACCUCUGUCAGAUGGGAAGAUGGGACUAGGGGCUAAUACCUCCUAGUCUUGACGGUACCAUCAGAGGAAGGGGCGGCUAACUACGUGCCAGCAGCCGCGGUAAUACGUAGGUCCCGAGCGUUGCGCGAUGUUACUGGGCGUAAAGCGUCCGUAGCCGGUUUCGUAAGCGGAUUGUCAAAGCCCGAAGCUCAACUUCGGCAAGGCAUUCCGAACUGCGUUACUUGAGUCCUGUUCAGGUAGGCGGAAUUCCCGGUGUAGCGGUGAAAUGCGUAGAUAUCGGGAGGAACACCAGUGGCGAAGGCGGCCUACUGGGACGGUACUGACGGUCAUGGACGAAAGCUGGGGGAGCAAACCGGAUUAGAUACCCGGGUAGUCCCAGCCGUAAACGAUGGAUGUUAGGUGUAGUGAUAACUUCGCUGCACCCCAGCUAACGCGUUAAACAUCCCGCCUGGGGAGUACGGGCGCAAGCCUGAAACUCAAAGGAAUUGGCGGGGGCCCGCACAACCGGUGGAGCGUCUGGUUUAAUUCGAUGCUAACCGAAAAACCUUACCAGGGUUUGAAAUGGUAGGAAAGGCUGUCGAAAGAUAGCCGUGUUUCCCUUUCGGGAGAAAUCCUACCACAGGUGGUGCAUGGCCGUCGUCAGCUCGUGUUGUGAGAUGUUGGGUUAAGUCCCGCAACGAGCGCAACCCUUGUCCUUAUUUGCUUCCUCGUAUGAGGUGCUCUAUAAGGAGACUGCCGGCGACAAGCCGGAGGAAGGAGGGGACGACGUCAGGUCAGUAUGCCCUUUAUGCCCUGGGCUACACAGGCGCUACAGUGGCAAGGACAAUGAGUAGCGAGAGUGCAAGCUCAAGCUAAUCUCACAAA
rnacentral:rRNA from 1 species